rnacentral:sRNA from 1 species
GUCUAAACCCGACUGUAGCAGAAAUCCUUUUUGCUUGUAGUAACGUUGAAUACGAAGUGUUUGUUGCCGAUGAAAACAGUUCCUUCAUGCUUUAGAAGACCGUGGUGCAAAAAGAUUGUAGCGUAAGGCGGGACUGCUG